GCGAGAUGCCGUGUCCCUGCGCAUGAGUCGGACGAUAAACUGAGCCAUGGCCCGCCGGGCGCAGCCCCGCGCGAGCCGCCAAUGAUCAGCCAGCAGCCGCUGCAACCCCAGGGAG
rnacentral:sRNA from 1 species